rnacentral:tRNA from 1 species
ACCACGGUGGUCUAGCGGUUAGAACGCUGGCCUUGUAAUCCUGGGGUCUCGGGUUCGAUUCCCGGCGGUGCUC